CUGGAUGGGACAAAUGUAAUAUGACCUUUGACCUCAGAUCAGGUAGGGUUACCCGCUGAACUUAAGCAUAUCAAUAAGCGGAGGAAAAGAAACUAACAAGGAUUCCCCUAGUAA
rnacentral:rRNA from 1 species